UACGAAGGGGGCUAGCGUUGCUCGGAAUCACUGGGCGUAAAGGGUGCGUAGGCGGCUUUCUAAGUCAGGGGUGAAAUCCUGGAGCUCAACUCCAGAACUGCCUUUGAUACUGGAGAGCUUGAGUCCGGGAGAGGUGAGUGGAACUCCGAGUGUAGAGGUGAAAUUCGUAGAUAUUCGGAAGAACACCAGUGGCGAAGGCGGCUCACUGGCCCGGUACUGACGCUGAUGUGCGAAAGCGUGGGGAGCAAACAGG
rnacentral:rRNA from 1 species